rnacentral:lncRNA from 1 species
AGAGAGAAAGAGAGAGAGAGAGACAGAGAGAGACAGAGAGACAGAGACAGAGACAGAGACAGAGAGAGAAAGAGAGACACUAAGUGUGUCCAGUAGAAAUGAUCAAUGAGUUAAAUUCCAUUUAGCUUUCCUCCCUCUCACUAAAGGACUCAAGAUGGGUAUCCCUGUGAUGAUGUUUGAGCAGGGAUGGUCAGAGACUGCUGCCUAGACAAGAGAUUUCUGUGGGUUGAGGAAUAGACUUUUUCCUAGGGCUUUGCUGAAACCUGGGACCCAAGAAAGCCUCCUCUGGGAAGAGCCCUGUCUGGAAAGGCUGAAUGGCUGUCAGCUCUGGAUUUUGUUUUGACCAAAGCUUGAUGGAGGAUAUAUUGAUACCACUAAGGGGAAAAUUGUGAUCUAGAAGAAGGAGGCAGGUUUCUGGGAAGGUCCCAAGAUGAAAAGAAUAUGAAAGGGGAGACUAUUUAAAGGUAAAAGGAAGUU